UACAGAGGUCUCAAGCGUUGUUCGGAUUCAUUGGGCGUAAAGGGUGCGUAGGCGGCGCGGUAAGUCGGGUGUGAAAUCUCGGAGCUUAACUCCGAAACUGCAUUCGAUACUGCCGUGCUUGAGGACUGGAGAGGAGACUGGAAUUUACGGUGUAGCGGUGAAAUGCGUAGAGAUCAGGAGGAACACCAGUGGCGAAGGCGGUGCUCUGGGCCGGAACUGACGCUGAGGAGCGAAAGCGUGGGGAGCAAACAGG
rnacentral:rRNA from 1 species